rnacentral:tRNA from 1 species
GGGUAGGUGGCAGAGUGGACAAUCGCUCUUGGCUGUAAACCAAGCGCCUUCGGGCUACGGGGGUUCGAAUCCCUCCCUACCCA